UACGUAGGGCGCAAGCGUUAUCCGGAAUUAUUGGGCGUAAAGAGCUCGUAGGCGGUUUGUCGCGUCUGCCGUGAAAGUCCGGGGCUCAACUCCGGAUCUGCGGUGGGUACGGGCAGACUAGAGUGAUGUAGGGGAGACUGGAAUUCCUGGUGUAGCGGUGAAAUGCGCAGAUAUCAGGAGGAACACCGAUGACGAAGGCAGGUCGUCUGGGCAUUAACUGACGCUGAGGAGCGAAAGCAUGGGGAGCGAACAGG
rnacentral:rRNA from 1 species